AGGUGUUGCCAGCCUUUGCAGCAGGCAAGAUUGGCAGGCAUGAAAAAAUGUAUUCCUGAUUUGCCCACUGCUGUAAUAUUGCUCUAAGAAAUAUUUACCAAGGCAGUAUUGCUGGCAGUCACAAAUACCCCAGCCAGAAGAGAAGGUCACAAAUCUAUCAUCAGACAAUAGGCAAGACUGAGAAUUACAUCUGAACUGAAACAGCCAAUGAGAAUCCUACUACUGCAAAAGAAUGAAGACAAAAGCUGCCUGAUAACUCCUUAGAGUGAGAUUUAUUUCUUUCUGUCUGAGGAGGGUUAAGCUAUUUCUGCACAGGCUUGAAGAAUUUGAGCUGGAGGAGGAGAAAGAAUCAUUAACUUUUAUGUUUGCAUUUUCCUUUACAUUUGCACUGAAGUUGUGCUGAUUUCAUUCCAUUCAGUCUAACGAUUUCCUUUUUACCUUUAAGUUCUUUAUAUGAUUUUUUUUUUCUUUUGGUCCAGUGGCUAUUAAAUAUGAGAAUUAAAGGAAUCAGGGAAAAACUAUAUCCUUUAUAAUCACAUAAUGUCAUGGUAAAAUGUUCAGCAAAAUAAUUGAUCCAGAAAGUAUGAAAAGUCAUCUUACAUAGCAAAACACAAGUGUACAAAGACCAGAUUUUAAUAUCUUCACCUGCAAUCUACAGUUUACUUUUUAAGAAUCCUGUGAAAACUCAGCUGUGGACAAUGUCCACGCAGCACAAGGACCCAGGGUCAACCAACACAAAAGCAGUAGCAGGCACCUCUCAAGCCAGAAGUUGUGGAUUCAGUAUCUAUCUCAGGCUAAGAGGGUUCCUUGCCACAUGCCAUUCUUUCCCUUAACAGUCUUCAAUGCCUAAAAAUCCUGUUAGUUUUUUUACUAACUACAUUAGCUGAAUAAUAGAA